AAUUGUGGUAAAAUAAAUAAAAUACUUAGAAUGUAUUUUGCCAGGUAGAAUUACACUUUUGUAAGGUUUAAGGCUUAUUGUGGAACACAGCGAUACAAAUAAUAUCGUUCUUUGUUGUAGGGUCAUUCAGCCUCUAAAAUGCGUCACUUCAAGCACCAAAACAACAGCACUCCAGAUGUUGCAGACUACAUCUCCCGUGAAACAAUCUUCAUAUGUACCAGCGCAAUAGUCUUAGGACAAGCAAUCAGACAAAAAAAAAUUAAGGUAGUAGUAUGAUAAUUUAUUCCAGUAUAAAAUAUGUUACGGUAAAGCAAGACCAUCAUACAUGUGUCUAGACCACCAUCAAUUCUGACAUUUUGUAUGGAAACCCAUACUUAAUCAUAUACUGGAUGUGAGUAAUAUUUCUUUAUUAUUAUACACCUCCCAUGAUGCUUUGCCAGAAUCAUGACUGUAAAAGCGUUAUUUGAGAGACAGAUAGAGAAUGCUAAUGGAGAAUGUAGAAACUCAAAUGUCAGAAACUGUUGGCAAGUCUAUGUGAACACGGUUGAUACAAAUAGGAAUGAGGCUGACAAUAAACCCGUGGAACAGAAAAACGGACAGAGUGUAGUAGAGAAACUGGGAGGUGAUGAAAGUGAUUGGGGGGGGGUCAGGGACAAGUGCAGUUUGAGGUGAGAAAUACAAACAAAUCUGGGAAAAAGAUCAACCAGAGAGAUUUGCAAGAACAUUUUUAAGGACACACAAACUGAUGAAAUAUUAUUAUUGUAUAAGUGUAGUGAUGUUGCGAACAUAAAAUUUUCGGUUCGCAAACGCGAACUUCCGCAAAUGUUCGCGAACGGGCGAACCGCCAUAGACUUCAAUAGGCAGGCGGAUUUUAAAACCCACAGGGGCUCUUUCUGGCCACAAUAGUGAUGGAAAAUUUGUUUCAAGGGGACUAACACCUGGACUGUGGCAUGCCGGAGGGGGAUCCAUGGCAAAACUCACAUGAAAAAUUACAUAGUUGAUGCAGAGUCUGGUUUUAAUCCAUAAAGGGCAUAAAUCACCUAACAUUCCUAAAUUGUUUGGAAUAACGUGCUUUAAAACAUCAGGUAUGAUGUUGUAUCGAUCAGGUAGUGUAAGGGUUACGCCCGCUUCACAGUGACAGACCAAACUCCCCGUUUAACGCACCGCAAACAACCGCAAACAGUCCAUGAGGGUGGUGGGGGUGAGGGUGGGGGGUGGUGAUGCUGAGGGUGGUGGGGGGAGGCUGAGGGUGGUGGGGGCUGGUGAUGCUGAGGGUGGUGGGGGGAAGCUGAGGGUGGUUGGGGGUGGUGAUGCUGAGGGUGGUGAUGCUGAGGGUGGUGAUGCUGAGGGUGGUG